GACGAACGCGGCGGCGUGCCUAAUACAUGCAAGUAGAACGCUGAAGGAGGAGCUUGCUCUUCUGGAUGAGUUGCGAACGGGUGAGUAACGCGUAGGUAACCUGCCUGGUAGCGGGGGAUAACUAUUGGAAACGAUAGCUAAUACCGCAUAAUAGUAGAUGUUGCAUGACAUUUACUUAAAAGGUGCAAUUGCAUCACUACCAGAUGGACCUGCGUUGUAUUAGCUAGUUGGUGGGGUAACGGCUCACCAAGGCGACGAUACAUAGCCGACCUGAGAGGGUGAUCGGCCACACUGGGACUGAGACACGGCCCAGACUCCUACGGGAGGCAGCAGUAGGGAAUCUUCGGCAAUGGACGGAAGUCUGACCGAGCAACGCCGCGUGAGUGAAGAGGGUUUUCGGAUCGUAAAGCUCUGUUGUAAGAGAAGAACGAGUGUGAGAGUGGAAAAGUUCACACUGUGACGGU
rnacentral:rRNA from 1 species